AUGUCCUGGCCUCAUCCAGAUGCUCCUCACAGUCGCCAAGGUCCUCCUCCAGCCACCUCCACAUUCUCUCCAGCAAGGCCUCUGUGGCUCGAGUGUCCUCCUGUCCCCAGGGAGAAGAGGUCACUCUGGAGACUGCCGGCCUCUAGCUCUUCCCAAGGCCAGGCCUGGGCCGCUUUCCCCUUCCCCCUAGGAGCCCUGGCUCCUGUCCGCCUCUGCCUCACUCCCAGCACCCCCAGGGAGGCUGGGGAAAUGCCCGGGGAAGGAAGGGCACACGGAUCCAGGGCAGAAGAGAUGGGAAAGUCUCGGCUCUGGCGUCAGAAGGCACAGUGGAGGGGCAGCUGGCUAGCCCAGAGAAUGGAGCACCAGGACUGGAGGUGCUGGGUUCAAAGAUGGCCUCAGACGCUUCCUAGCUGGGUGACCCUGGGAGAGCCGCUGUUUGCCCAGCCCUUGCUGCCCUUCUGUCUGAAAGUUGUUACAAAGACAGAAAGUAAGGGCGUCAAGCAUCAAUGAAAAAAGAAGCCAAGUUCUAGCCAUGACUAAAACCCAGAGCCCUUGCCUGCCGGUCCCAAUGCGCCUAGACCAGAUGCUCUCAAAGGCCCCGGGCUAAAACUGAUUUUAAAGACAAGCAAAGGGGCAGCCCGGUGGCUCAGUGGAUGGAGAGCCAAGCCUACAUGAUGGGAGGUUCUAGGUUCAAUUUUGGCCUCAGACACUUCCUAGCUGGGUGACCCUGGGCAAGUCACUCAACCUCCACUGCAACCUCCUAGUCCCAGUAUGGAUUCUAAGCCAAGGUAAGGGCUUAAACACAAAAGCAAGGCAACAGUUUCUCUGGAAAGGAGGGAACACGGAGCAGAGGGCGGGCACCCUGAACUCUGUCCCGCUCCCCAGCUUCCUGCUAGACUGGCCAUCCUCAUAAUCUAGAAAGGGGCCCGGAGGCUCAGAAGGGUCCCCAAGCCCUUGUGUGAUGGCCGCGGGGCAGGGACGGGAAGGGGAGGCCUCCGAGGUCCCGGGACCCCCCCUGCAGCUCCCUCGGUGGGCUCGGAAAGCACCUGGAGACCCUCCCACCCCCCAAGCAUCCCAGGGCUACGGCGUAGGGGCUCCGCCUCCUCCCAAGCCUUCAGGAGUCCCCUCCAACCUCCCCUUACUCAGAACUCCAGGGUCCUCCAUAAGGUAGAGCAGGGAGCCCUGUCGGUCAUAGAGAACAGCGUAGGGCACCAGCAGCCCCGGCCCGGGGGGGAGGAAGAGAAAGUGAUGGAGCAUCUUCUGCCAGUCCGAGACCACGGGCACCUGGGGGGAGUCACGAGGAAAGACCCGGGCUGCCAUUCCUGGGGCGGGAUCCCAGAAAGACGCCGGGGUCGGGGAGAGAACUGGGCCUAGGAGAGGAACUUCCCCAAGCCCUUUCGGGGCAGCGGGGAGCCCCGGAAGGCUCUGCCCCAGGCAGGCGCGGAGGGGCAGGAGCCUCCGGCUGGGACCUUAGUCACCCACCAGCCCCACCGGCUACUCCAAGGCUAAUCAUAAGCGCUACCCA
rnacentral:lncRNA from 1 species